rnacentral:rRNA from 1 species
CCUACGGGCGGCAGCAGUCGAGAAUCAUUCACAAUGGGGGAAACCCUGAUGGUGCGACGCCGCGUGGGGGAAUGAAGGUCUUCGGAUUGUAAACCCCUGUCAUGUGGGAGCAAAUUAAAAAGAUAGUACCACAAGAGGAAGAGACGGCUCACUCUGUGCCCGCAGCCGCGGUAAUACAGAGGUCUCAAGCGUUGUUCGGAAUCACUGGGCGUAAAGCGUGCGUAGGCUGUUUCGUAAGUCGUGUGUGAAAGGCGCGGGCUCAACCCGCGGACGGCACAUGAUACUGCGAGACUAGAGUGAGGGAGGGGGAACCGGAAUUCGCGGUGUAGCAGUGAAAUGCGUAGAUAUCGAGAGGAACACUCGUGGCGAAGGCGGGUUCCUGGACAUUAACUGACGCUGAGGCACGAAGGCCAGGGGAGCGAAAGGGAUUAGAUACCCGAGUAGUC